UGCCCCAGUAACGGCGAGUGAAGCGGCAACAGCUCAAAUUUGAAAUCUGGCCCCCAGGGCCCGAGUUGUAAUUUGCAGAGGAUGCUUUUGGCGCGGUGCCUUCCGAGUUCCCUGGAACGGGACGCCAUAGAGGGUGAGAGCCCCGUCUGGUCGGACACCAAGCCAGUGUAAAGCUCCUUCGACGAGUCGAGUAGUUUGGGAAUGCUGCUCUAAAUGGGAGGUAUAUGUCUUCUAAAGCUAAAUACCGGCCAGAGACCGAUAGCGCACAAGUAGAGUGAUCGAAAGAUGAAAAGCACUUUGAAAAGAGGGUUAAACAGUACGUGAAAUUGUUGAAAGGGAAGCGUUUAUGACCAGACUUGCGCCCGGUGAAUCAUCCAGCGUUCUCGCUGGUGCACUUUGCCGGGCUCAGGCCAGCAUCAGUUCGUCGCGGGGGAUAAAAGCUUCGGGAACGUGGCUCCCUCGGGAGUGUUAUAGCCCGUUGCACAAUACCCUGCGGUGGACUGAGGUUCGCGCUCCGCAAGGAUGCUGGCGUAAUGGUCAUCAGCGA
rnacentral:rRNA from 1 species